GAGUUUGAUCCUGGCUCAGAACGAACGUUGGCGGCGUGGAUUAGGCAUGCAAGUCGAACGCGAAAGGGUAGCAAUACCCGAGUAAAGUGGCGAACGGGUGAGUAACGCGUAGGAAACCUGCCUUCGAGUGGGGGAUAACACUCCUAACGGGGUGCUAAUACCGCAUGAAACUAAGGGGUCGCAUGGCCCCAUAGUCAAAGGUGGCCUCUAUUUAUAAGCUACCGCUCAAAGAUGGUCCUGCGUCCCAUUAGCUAGUUGGUGAGGUAACGGCUCACCAAGGCUUCGAUGGGUAGCCGAUCUGAGAGGAUGACCGGCCACACUGGGACUGAGAUACGGCCCAGACUCCUACGGGAGGCAGCAGUCGAGAGGCUUCGGCAAUGGGGGAAACCCUGACCGAGCGACGCCGCGUGGAGGAUGAAGGCCUUUGGGUUGUAAACUCCUGUCAUGUGGGAAGAAACGCUAUCGUUCGAAUAGGGCGGUAGUUUGACGGUACCACAAGAGGAAGCUCCGGCUAACUCCGUGCCAGCAGCCGCGGUAAUACGGGAGGAGCGAACGUUGUUCGGAAUCACUGGGCGUAAAGGGUGCGUAGGCGGCCAAGUAAGUGAUGUGUUAAAUCCUCCGGCUCAACCGGAGAAGCCGCAUGUCAUACUGCUUGGCUUGAGUGCA
rnacentral:rRNA from 1 species